rfam:Triticum aestivum genome assembly, contig: Triticum_aestivum_CS42_TGACv1_scaffold_330194_4BS
UUAUUACUCCCUCCGUCCCAAAAUUCUUGUCUUAAAUUUAUCUAAAUAUGGAUAUGUCUAGUUAUAUAUCUGUAUCGAGACAAAUCUAAGACAAGAAUUUUGGGACGGAGGGAGUAUGAU